CGCGAAUUCGCCCUUCGGGGUGCAGCAGGCGCGAAAACUCUACAAUGCAGGCAACUGCGAUAGGGGAACAUCGAGUGAUACUCAUUUUGGGUGUCUGUCCCACCGUCUAAAAAACGGUGGUUAGCAAGGGCCGGGCAAGACCGGUGCCAGCCGCCGCGGUAAUACCGGCGGCUCGAGUGGUGGCCGAUAUUAUUGAGUCUAAAGGGUCCGUAGCCGGCUUUGCAAGUCUUUUGGGAAAUCCAGCGGCUUAACCGUUGGUCGUCCGGGAGAUACUACAUUGCUUGGGACUGGGAGAGGUAAGAGGUACUCAGGGGGUAGGAGUGAAAUCCUGUAAUCCUUUGGGGACCACCGGUGGCGAAGGCGUCUUACCAGAACAGGUCCGACGGUGAGGGACGAAAGCUAGGGGCACGAACCGGAUUAGAUACCCGGGUAGUCCUAGCCGUAAACGAUGCUCGCUAGGUGUCACAACAAUCGUGAAUUGUUGUGGUGCCGUAGGGAAGCCGUGAAGCGAGCCACUUGGGAAGUACGACCGCAAGGUUGAAACUUAAAGGAAUUGGCGGGGGAGCAC
rnacentral:rRNA from 1 species